rnacentral:rRNA from 1 species
AUAGCGUAUAUUAAAGUUGUUGCAGUUAAAACGCUCGUAGUUGAACUUCAGACCUGGCCGGGCGGUCCGCUUAACGGCGUGUACUGUCUGGCUGGGCCUUACCUCUUGGUGAGCCGGCGUGCCCUUUAUUGGUGUGCGUCGGGGAACCAGGACUUUUACCUUGAGAAAAUUAGAGUGUUCAAAGCAGGCCUAUGCCCGAAUACAUUAGCAUGGAAUAAUAAAAUAGGACGUGCGGUUCUAUUUUGUUGGUUUCUAGAGUCGCCGUAAUGAUUAAUAGGGAUAGUUGGGGGCAUUGGUAUUGAGUCGCUAGAGGUGAAAUUCUUGGAUUGACUCAAGACCAACUAUUG